AGUGUGUUGCCAGGCACAUGAAUCAGUCCCAUGAAGACAGUCUGUCGAGCAGUCACGUCAGAGGCAGGCUGCCUAUGAGGACUGAAACAGCCUCAGCCUUUUGUCACUUGGAUGUGACCAUGGCCACUUGUUUCCUCUGCUGUGUGGCCCUGUGUCUUCUGGGAGCAGGCUUUUCUGAUGACGAAGUUACCCAGACACCACGACAUCUGAUCAAAUGGAAAGGACAGCUAGCGAAGAUGAGUUGUGUCCCUAAAAAAGGACAUACUGCUCUUUACUGGUAUCAACAAAAGCAGAAUGAAGGGUUGAAGUUUUUGGCUUAUUUUGGGAACAAAGAAAUUCUUGAUCAAACAGAUAUGUUCAAGGACCGAUUCUCAGCUGAAUAUCCCCAAGACUCACCCUGCAGCCUGGAAAUCAAGUCAUCUGAACUAGAAGACUCAGCCCUGUACCUCUGUGCUAGCAGUCAGUCCACAGUGCUGAAAUGUUCCUUCCUCUGAGUGCACAAACCCCAU